CAAUAGCGUAUAUUAAAGUUGUUGCAGUUAAAAAGCUCGUAGUUGGAUUUGUGGUUGGAGUGGUCGGUCCGACACAGUGUGUGGGUACUCGAUUCUCUCUCGCCAUCCUUGAGUGGUCCGUUCUGGCAUUUAGUUGUCGGAGCGUCAGCCGCUCAUCGUUUACUGUGAGAAAAUUAGAGUGUUCAAAGCAGGCUUAUGCCGUUGAAUAUAUUAGCAUGGAAUAAUAAGAUAGGACCUCGGUGCUAUUUUGUUGGUUUGCGCACAGAGGUAAUGAUGAACAGGGACAGUUGGGGGUAUUUGUAUUUCGUUGUCAGAGGUGAAAUUCUUAGAUUUACGAAAGACAAACUACUGCGAAAGCAUUUACCAAGGAUGUUUUCAUUGAUCAAGAACGAAAGUAUGGGGAUCGAAGACGAUCAGAUACCAU
rnacentral:rRNA from 1 species